rnacentral:rRNA from 1 species
UCAACUUGAGAGUUUGAUCCUGGCUCAGAACGAACGCUGGCGGCAGGCCUAACACAUGCAAGUCGAGCGAGACCUUCGGGUCUAGCGGCGGACGGGUUAGUAACGCGUGGGAACGUGCCCUUCACUACGGAAUAGUCCCGGGAAACUGGGUUUAAUACCGUAUACGCCCUUCGGGGGAAAGAAUUUCGGUGAAGGAUCGGCCCGCGUUGGAUUAGGUAGUUGGUGGGGUAAUGGCCUACCAAGCCUACGAUCCAUAGCUGGUUUGAGAGGAUGAUCAGCAACACUGGGACUGAGACACGGCCCAGACUCCUACGGGAGGCAGCAGUGGGGAAUCUUAGACAAUGGGGGAAACCCUGAUCUAGCCAUGCCGCGUGAGUGAUGAAGGCCUUAGGGUCGUAAAGCUCUUUCGCCAGGGAUGAUAAUGACAGUACCUGGUAAAGAAACCCCGGCUAACUCCGU